UACGUAGGUGGCAAGCGUUAUCCGGAAUUAUUGGGCGUAAAGAGCGCGCAGGUGGUUGAUUAAGUCUGAUGUGAAAGCCCACGGCUUAACCGUGGAGGGUCAUUGGAAACUGGUCGACUUGAGUGCAGAAGAGGGAAGUGGAAUUCCAUGUGUAGCGGUGAAAUGCGUAGAGAUAUGGAGGAACACCAGUGGCGAAGGCGGCUUCCUGGUCUGUAACUGACACUGAGGCGCGAAAGCGUGGGGAACAAACAGGAUUAGGAUACCCCCGUA
rnacentral:rRNA from 1 species